rnacentral:tRNA from 1 species
GCGGGCGUAGUUCAGUGGUAGAACGCCUGCUUCCCAAGCAGGAGGUCGCGGGUUCGAGUCCCGUCGCCCGCU